AGAGCGAACGCUGGCGGCAUGCUUAACACAUGCAAGUCGCACGGGCAGCAAUGUCAGUGGCGGACGGGUGAGUAACGCGUAGGUAUCUAUCCUUGGGUGGGGGACAACUGUGGGAAACUACAGCUAAUACCGCAUGAUAACUGAGGUUUAAAGGCGCAAGUCGCCUGAGGAGGAGCCUGCGUACGAUUAGCUAGUUGGUGGGGUAAAGGCCUACCAAGGCGACGAUCGUUAGCUGGUCUGAGAGGAUGAUCAGCCACAUUGGGACUGAGACACGGCCCAAACUCCUACGGGAGGCAGCAGUGGGGAAUAUUGGACAAUGGGCGAAAGCCUGAUCCAGCAAUGCCGCGUGUGUGAAGAAGGUCUUCGGAUUGUAAAGCACUUUCGACGGGGACGAUGAUGACGGUACCCGUAGAAGAAGCCCGGCUAACUUCGCGCCAGCAGCCGC
rnacentral:rRNA from 1 species